GACGAACGCUGGCGGCGUGCUUAACACAUGCCAGUCGAACGGAAAGGCCCUGCUUUUGUGGGGUGCUCGAGUGGCGAACGGGUGAGUAACACGUGAGUAACCUGCCCUUGACUUUGGGAUAACUUCAGGAAACUGGGGCUAAUACCGGAUAGGAGCUCCUGCUGCAUGGUGGGGGUUGGAAAGUUUCGGCGGUUGGGGAUGGACUCGCGGCUUAUCAGCUUGUUGGUGGGGUAGUGGCUUACCAAGGCUUUGACGGGUAGCCCGCCUGAGAGGGUGACCGGCCACGGUGGGACUGAGAUACGGCCCAGACUCCUACGGGAGGCAGCAGUGGGGAAUAUUGCGCAAUGGGCGGGAGCCUGAUGCAGCAACGCCGCGUGCUGGAUGACGGCCUUCGGGUUGUAAACCGCUUUCGCCUGUGACGAAGCGUGAGUGACGGUAAUGGGUAAAGAAGCACCGGCUAACUACGUG
rnacentral:rRNA from 1 species